rnacentral:rRNA from 1 species
CCCCUAAGUCCGGGAUACCAUUUGGAAAUAGGUGCUAAUACCGGAUAAUAAAGCAGAUCGCAUGAUCAGCUUUUGAAAGGCGGCGUAAGCUGUCGCUAAGGGAUGGCCCCGCGGUGCAUUAGCUAGUUGGUAAGGUAACGGCUUACCAAGGCGACGAUGCAUAGCCGAGUUGAGAGACUGAUCGGCCACAUUGGGACUGAGACACGGCCCAAACUCCUACGGGAGGCAGCAGUAGGGAAUCUUCCACAAUGGACGCAAGUCUGAUGGAGCAACGCCGCGUGAGUGAAGAAGGUUUUCAGAUCGUAAAGCUCUGUUGUUGGUGAAGAAGGAUAGAGGUAGUAACUGGCCUUUAUUUGACGGUAAUCAACCAGAAAGUCACGGCUAACUACGUGCCAGCAGCCGCGGUAAUACGUAGGUGGCAAGCGUUGUCCGGAUUUAUUGGGCGUAAAGCGAGCGCAGGCGGAAAAAUAAGUCUAAUGUGAAAGCCCCUCGGCUUAACCGAGGAACUGCAUCGGAAACUGUUUUUCUUGAGUGCAGAAGAGGAGAGUGGAACCUCCCAUGUGUAGCGGUGGAAUGC